UGUUGUUGUGUUCCAUUGUGGUUGUUGCUGUUACAUUGUGUUGUUGUGUUACAUUGUUUGUUGUGUUACAUUGUGUUGUUUGUGUUACUGUGUUGCGUUGUUGUGUUGUGUUGUGUUACUGUGGUUGCGUUGUUUGUUGUGUGUUGUUGUGUUGUGUUACUGUGUUGCGUUUGUGUUGUGUUGUUGGUGUUGUGUUGUUGCGUUGUUGCGUUGUUGUGUUGUGUUGUUGUGUUACUGUGUUGCGUUGUUGUGUUAUUGCGUUGUUGCGUUGUUGUGUUGUUGUGUUGUGUUGUUGUGUUGUGUUACAUUGUUGUUGUGUUGUUGUGUUGCGUUGUUGUGUUGUUGUGUUGUGUUGUUGUGUUAUAGUGUUGUUGUGUUACAUUGUGUUGUUGUGUUAUUGUGUUGUUGUGUUACAUUGUGUUGUUGUGUUUUGUGUCUGCUGUGUUACAUUGUGUUGUUGUUUGUUAUUGUGUUGCUUGUGUUACAUUCGUGUUGUUGUGUUAUUGUGUUGCUUGUGUUACUUGUGUUGUUUUGUGUUAUGUGUUGUGUUGUUGUGUUAUUGUGUUGUUGUGUUACAUUGUGUUGUUGUGUUGUUGUGUUACAUUGUGUUGUUGUGUUGUUGUGUUACAUUGUGUUGUUGUGUUACAUUGUGUUGUUGUGUUGUGUUACAUUGUGUUGUUGUGUUGUGUUACAUUGUGUUAUUGUGUUGUGUUACAUUGUGUUGUGUUGUUGUGUUACAUUGUGUUGUUGUGUUGUUACAUUGUGUUGUUGUGUUACAUUGUGUUGUUGUGUUGUUACAUUGUGUUGUUGUGUUAUUGUGUUGUUGUGUUGUGUUGUGGUGUUGUGUUAUUGUGUUAUUGUGUUACAUUGUGUUGUGUUGUUGUGUUGUUGUGUUACAUUGUGUUGUUGUGUUGUGGUGUUGUGUUGUUUUAUUGUGUUAUUGUUGUGUCGUGUCAUUGUGUUAUUGUGUCGUUGUGUUGUUGUUGUGUUGUUAUUGUUGUGUUGUUGUGCCAUUGUAUUGUUUUAUUGUGUUAUUGUUGUAUCAUUGUGUCGUGUUAUUGUGUUAUUGUUGUGUUGUUGUGUUAUUGUGUCGUUGUGUUACAUUGUGUUGUUGUGUUGUUGUUGUGUUGUUUGUUGUUGUGUUAUUGUUGUGUUGUUGUUGUUUGUUGUUGUGUUAUUGUUGUGUUAUGGUGUCAUUGUAUUGUUGUGUUGUUGUUGUGUUAUUGUGUUGUUGUGUUAUUGUGUUGUUGUGUUAUUGUGGUGUUGUGUUAUUGUGGUGUUGUGUUGUUGUUGUGUUGUUGUUGUGUUAUUGUGUCAUUGUAUUGUUGUGUUGUUGUUGUGUUAUUGUGGUGGUGUUGUGUUAUUGUUGUGUUAUGGUGUCAUUGUAUUGUUGUGUUGUUGUGUUGUUGUUGUGUUAUUGUGGUGUUGUGUUGUUGUGUCGUUGUGUCAUUGUCGUUGUGUUGUUAUUGUUGUGUUAUUGUGUCGUUGUAUUGUUUUAUUGUGUUAUUGUUGUAUCAUUGUGUUGUUGUGUUGUUGUUGUGUUAUUGCAUUGUUGUUGUUGUGUUGUUGUGUUAUUGUGUUGUUGUGUUGUUGUGUUAUUGUUGUGUUGUUGUGUUAUUGUUGUGUUGUUGUGUUAUUGUUGUGUUGUUGUGUUGUUGUGUUGUUGUUCCUGACCCCCCGUCAGACAUCAAGGAGAGCGAGAACAU
ensembl:lncRNA